AGAGGCUCAGGAGAAGCGAUGGAAGGAAGUAAGGAACGGACGUCCGAGUGCACUGAUACCCUGGGCAUCGCCGAUGACAUUGACAAAGCGGUCAUAGUCGUAGGCGAGGAGGAUGACCUGAGGAGUCGUUUCUUCUGGUUGCGGCCAGGGAAGCGCAGCGCCACGGAGGCGCUCUAGAAGUGGACUUGCGAGGGCUGCCCUCACGCCAGAGCUCUGCUGUAUCGCCCGAGAUCUGAGCCUGGGCAGUUGAUUCAAGCACUCCCUUGAGGAAUCUGCGCGGUCUUCAGGAAGAUGUCGCCAGGAGACUCGUGGAGGAUGUUUCAACUUGCAAAGAGAAAAUGGCUGAACGUUUCUAGUAAAUAUUAGCUCAAAAGAUCCAAAGCGGGAGCUGGUCAUGAGAUUUAGAGGGAUGAAGACUCAGGAACAGAUGUGGGAUUCAUGGGCGCUUGGAGGACUACAGGCAGGCCUUACCUGACCACCUCCUACAGCUGGUUGUAUAGCUAUUUCAGUUGCAUGUCUAAACUCCGAAUUUACUCAACUGUGAAUUACAUAUCAAUUCAACAUUUAUUUUUAGGCUAAUCAGGCUAAUAAUUGUGUGCACAUCGAUGGCAGUCUGAAGCGGAUCAGAUUGCAGCCAUUGUCUGUUAAGCUCCUGAGUGGACGCAUUGAAGGGGUGCUGCGAAGCCUGCCAUUGAAGG